rnacentral:rRNA from 1 species
CGGGAAACCGGGGCUAAUACCGGAUGCUUGAUUGAACCGCAGGGUUCAAUCAUAAAAGGUGGCUUUUAGCUACCACUUACACAUGGACCCACGGGGCAUUAGCUAGUUGGUAAGGUAACGGCUCACCAAGGCCACAAUGCGAAGCCGACCUGAAAGGGUGAUCGGCAAACUUGGAACUGAAACACAGCCCAAACUCCUACGGGAGGCAGCAAUAGGGAAUCUUCCGCAAGGGACAAAAGUCUGACGAACCAACGCCGCGUGAGUGAUGAAGGUUUUCGGAUCGCAAAACUCUGUUGUUAGGGAAAAACAAGUACCGUUCGAAUAGGGGGGUACCUUGACGGAACCUAACCAAAAAGCCCCGCCUAACUACUGGCCAGCAGCCGCGGAAAUACGUAGGUGGCAACCGUUGUCCGGAAUUAUUGGGCGUAAAGCGCGCGCAGGCGGUUUCUUAAGUCUGAUGUGAAACCCCCCGGCUCAACCGGGAAGGGUCAUUGAAAACUGGGAAACUUGAGUGCAAAAAAGGAGAGUGGAAUUCCACGUGUAGCGGUGAAAUGCGAAAAGAUGUGGAGAAACACCAUUGGCGAACGCGACUCUCUGGUCUGUAACUGACGCUGAGGCGCGAAAGCGAGGGGAGAGAACAGGAUUAGAUACCCUGGUAGUCCACGCCUUAAACGAUGAGUGCUAAGUGUUAGAGGGUUUCCGCCCUUUAGUGCUGCAGCAAACGCAUUAAGCACUCCGCCUGGGGAGUACGGUCGCAAGACUGAAACUCAAAGGAAUUGACGGGGGCCCGCACAAGCGUUGGAGCAUGUGGUUUAAUUCGAGCAACGCGAAAAACCUUCCCAGGUCUUGACAUCCUCUGACAACCUUAAAAAUGGGGCUCCCCCCUUCGGGGCAGAGUGACAGGUGGGUGAUGGUUGU